AGCGAACGCUGGCGGCAGGCUUAACACAUGCAAGUCGAGCGGGCAUCCUUGUGGUGUCAGCGGCAGACGGGUGAGUAACGCGUGGGAACGUGCCCUUCGGUUCGGAAUAACUCAGGGAAACUUGAGCUAAUACCGGAUACGUUCGAGAGCAGAAAGGUUUAUCUGCCGGAGGAUCGGCGCGCGUCUGAUUAGCUAGUUGGUGAGGUUACGGCUCACCAAGGCGUCGAUCAGUAGCUGGUCUGAGAGGAUGAUCAGCCACACUGGGACUGAGACACGGCCCAGACUCCUACGGGAGGCAGCAGUGGGGAAUAUUGGACAAGGGGGGCAACCCUGAUCCAGCCAUGCCGCGUGAGUGAUGCCGGCCUUAGGGUUGUAAAGCCGUUUUCUCCGGGACGAUAAUGACGGUACCGGAGGAAUAAGCCCCGGCUAACUUCGUG
rnacentral:rRNA from 1 species